rnacentral:rRNA from 1 species
GACGAACGCUGGCGGCGUGCCUAACACAUGCAAGUCGAGCGAUGACGCGUCUCCUUCGGGAGACGUUGAUUAGCGGCGGACGGGUGAGUAACACGUGGGUAACCUGCCUCAAAGAGGGGAAUAGCCUCCCGAAAGGGAGAUUAAUACCGCAUAAUAUGUUUUGGUCGCAUGACUAGAACAUCAAAGGAAUUUUCUUCGGAUUAUUCCACUUUGAGAUGGACCCGCGGCGCAUUAGCUAGUUGGUGAGGUAACGGCUCACCAAGGCGACGAUGCGUAGCCGACCUGAGAGGGUGAUCGGCCACAUUGGAACUGAGACACGGUCCAGACUCCUACGGGAGGCAG